rfam:Endozoicomonas numazuensis strain DSM 25634 scaffold00001, whole genome shotgun sequence.
UCCAUCGUGAGGUGGAAUCUGAAGAAAGCUGAAGGCAAAACACUGGCCCGACGAACAUUUAUGAGUCUGGACAAGCUGAUGACGACACUAAAAAAAAGCGCAACAGGAAAACCGGCUUGAAAGGCAGAUGCAGCAACUGAUGUAUCCAAAGCUACUGGU